rnacentral:lncRNA from 1 species
GAUAUAAAAAGUAUACAUAAUAUAUGAAGAGUUUAAAGGCGGCCGUUUGAAGGAAGGGUCAGGGAAAGACUCUUGGCUCCAGGAGUCAGAUGGAAGGGUCUGCGAUGGCAGCAAAUGGCCAGUUCCUACAUUUGCCCAAGGUCAGGGCUGGGGAGCUCCACCGUUCAGAUCCUAGGGGCGUUGUAGGGGUGGACCUUUCCUCCCCAGGUGAGUUUUGAGGGUAUAGAUGAGGGGUGAUGGCAUAUUCCAAGACGGCAAGAAUAGCCCCUUGGUCUUUCCUCUGGGUGUGUUGGGUGUGAGUGGCCCUUUGAGAGGGAGAGUUUGGGGCGUUUGAGGGGCAGAGAGGCAAGCCAGGUCAGCUCCAGGAGGAUGACCCAGAGCAAGGUCCAUUAGGGUAAGUGGGGCAGCUGCCCCACCUGCCUUCAUUACAGCAACCAGUCUGUGUGGGGUGGUCCUGGCUGUCGGCUGCUUCCUCUUAAGUCUCAGUGUUGCCGUUGCAGGGACUUAGCAGGGAAGAGGGAGAGGAGGGCAAAACUAGACUUAAGUUGACUCUGCGCCUCCUUGUCUGUGGCCCAACUCAUAGACUGGGCUCUCUGCUGCGGCCCAGGGCAUGGAAACAGACAAGUGGCCUUGUUGCUGCCCCAGCUGCAAGAAGCAUUGCCUCUUUCAAAUACAUCCUCUUCUCCCAAGCCUUUCUUUCAGCACCAAAAAGGGCAGUCCCUCCCCCAGCCCAAAACAUUAAAAGUUUGUAACAAGUUUUGCAUGAAUCUUCAGUGAUUUACCUUUGCAGGAAGAGCCAGGACUUACUGUGACGUUUGCCUCCCUGCUGCCUUGCAUAGCAACUGAGACUCUUUGUCCCUGAUAAAGGAGCUCCAAACUCAAACUGCUUCCAAAAUUGAAUCCGGAAUAAUGCAAGUCAGAGAAGGGUCUGUGGAAGGGAUCAGUUUUGUCCAUCUGUUAUCUCACAGGGCUCAGGUUAAAAUGGACCCAGAACUGGACCCAGGGCCCCCAAUGCAGCCAGAUCACCUUGCUCCUCACCCCUCUUCCUGGCCUGCCACUCCUGCCGCCACAGCCGGCCCCCUGAAAUUUGGGAUGGGGAGAAAUUCUACAGAGUGUGCAUUUAAAGGUGAGCCCUUCCUCAUUUUGCACUUUUCUGAAACAAUCUGAACCAAUAGACGGCAGCCCUCCUUCAAAAUUCUCACUUCUCCAAACUUUGCAAUUGAGUUCUCUAGCUAGGCGGUGUGUGGGAAAAAUGGAUAUAUUGGUGGAAACAGCACACCAAAACACAUAAGGGGGGAAUUGCUUCUCAAAAUGUUUACUAGUAAAAAUUGCAGAUGAAAAGGUAGGGAAAAUCCACAGUGAAAUGGUGGGUUUUUGUGAGGACUUAGGGGGAAAUCGCAAACUGGUGUUGAAAUGUGGAGGACUGGAUUUAAUAAUGGAAAAAUGAGAAAGUGAGAAGCACUAAAAUGGAUUGGUUUGCCCCCUCCCUUCGUACAAUUGUUUUGUCACCAUCCGGGCUUAGGUGACAGCCCAGCUCAGUGAAAAGUAUUUGAGGGUGAGGCUUUAACAGCCUUUAAACAACUGUUAGGCAUGACUUUGCAGAACUUAAUUGGGGCCUGGGAUGGAUGGAUGGGAGGAUUUUCCCCCAAUGCAGAUCUUUGCCAUUUUGCAAUGCAGUUUUGCACCACUGCAACAGCAGGAGGUGGGGGGGGGGCUUGGAGGCAGCUCUCCCUGCUGCAUGACCCAUUGAGGGGCAAGGAGACCUGCCCUGUAUGGUACCCAGGAGGCUUUGUUACAGCUGCAAUACUAUACUCACUUAACUGGGAGUAAGUCCAUUGAACUCAGUGGAACUUAAUUCUGAGUAGGCAUGCGCAGGCUUGUACUGUAAGCAACUGGGAAUAGUUGUGCUUUAACCUCUGGUGUGUAUAAAAAGAGAUGCUGAGAUUCAAAAGGAGAACCUGCAUUCAUCUCAAACAGUUUGGCAGCAUUUUAGAUCCGGAUUAAUCUUAACGUUUUAAAAUAUUUUGAAAUUUCACUUUUCCAAGUCAGCUCGGUAGGAUGCUCUUCAAACUCUUCCAUCUUGCCGCUGGAUUUUAAUGCAAGUGGGUUAAAAUGUUUGCUCUUCCCAGUGAUGCUUUAAAAACCCUAAAUGCCAUGUCACCUGUGGUUGGAGCUGAGGAAAUAAAUGCAGAGGCUGUUAAUUAAAAACGUUGCAAGCAAAUUCAACUCUGGGGAUUUCCCACCCCCACCCCACCCCUUCCACAUUCAUUUGAGGCCUAGUUAUGACAAAACUUGCUUUCAAUGAGUUUACAGGCAUCAUUAAAUGUGGGCCCCUUAACCUGCAAAGGAAAGGCACCACAAGAGCUGCUGCUUUAUGAGUAUUGGGCUGGGCUAGUUAAUGCAGGAAAGGAUACCUCAGCCUCUUACAACUGGCACCAAGUGAAGGCCUUUCCCUUUGGGACAAUCAGCAAUGCCAGGCACCCAGCGCCACCCAGGUCAGGGCACUGGGGAGACAGGAGACAGAGUGGAGCAACUGCCUCAGGCAGCUGAUGCUGGCAGGGGGCAACACCCCACCCCGUCAGAGGUCAGAACUCUGUGUGCCUCACACAACUAGUUUGGCACCCCUAAAACUACUCUGGUGUCAUGGAGGGCAUUGCCCCAUUGCCAGUAUUGGAAGAAAAUUCAGCUGCCGGUCCAGUUGACCUCUGUAGGUGACAUGGGGAGGGGGCAACUUGGUCUGGCCCUGGGCUAGUGAGCUUCCACAGGCUGGAGCAACAGCCCUUCACCUCUCAGCUCCUGCCCUUGCUGGGGGGGGGGGACGACGACUUCCUGAGGUAGCAGAUCCUCUCCUUGGGGUGUGUGUGGGGGUGUGUGGAUGUUCGUGCGAGAGUGGGUGUCCAGUGCCUGGCGGUCUCUUGGUGCUAUAAAAAUUGUUCAGUGAUCCUGUCCUUGAAUGUAGCUUAUUAGCCAAAUUGAACCCAGUCUUGCAGUGGACGGAACUUUCUCACUUCCCCAUACAGAGUUUUCUGCUGGGCUACGUCAAGGGGGCAGCAGAAACCUUGUUCUGUGCCAGAGGGUGGAGGUGCCUGUGAACCAUGAGGCCUGGCCUGCACCAGCUAAGGUAGCCUGAUGCCCUCUGGUGCCAUGGAAGAGAGUGUGACCCCAUUGCCAACGCUGGGAGUCAGAUCUGGUCAGGUUCUGAAUGUGGGGUGGCAGGGGACAUCCUCAGGCAGGCAAGUGUGUUAGGGCAAGAGCCCUGAGGUCUCCCCUUUGCAGAUGGUAUGAAGAGUGUUUAAGGAAAGUGAGGGAUAAUUUGGGGAGAGGCUAUUGGCUGUAUAAUUGUAGAGUUGGAAGGGUUCCCAAGGGUCGUCUAGUCCAACCCCCCUGCAAUGCAAGAAUUGCAGCUAAAGGAUCCCUGACAGAUGGCCAUUCAACAUUCAGUUGGUGAGUCACAACCCCCACCUGUUGGGCCAGGGACCACUAACACCAUACAUGUGUCCGGCUUAAAAGAUGCGGGUUCUAGAGGCGCCUUUCCGGCAAUGAAGCUGAGAGGGUGAGGAAGAGAGAGUGGUGGGAGAGGCUUGGAGAGGGAGACGGUAGCACUGGGGGGGUUCCCUUAAAAAAUGGAGGACUUUGCAAAGCUUCCAGAGGUGGCUCAGGGCUUCUUGACUGGAUGUUUCCAUGAAUACAGAGAGUGUGCCACAUGCAAAGCAACUUCUAAUUUUGUCAAAUAACCCAGGAUGGAAAUUUUUGAACUAUACAGAACUCUUCCUCGUGUGAGGGUAGGGAACACAGCUUCCUGGGACAAAACCUGGAGUUCUCCCCUCUUUAUAGUUUAUGGGCUGUGUCCAACUAAGGUCCAAGAGUCAACCAGCUUAAAUUCAUGGACCUCUGUUAGUCAUGUCCAUUAAUUUCAAUUGAUCUGCUCUUGAAUAUGAAAAAUGUAUAACCAGUGGCAGAUUUAUAGGUAUGCACAGAAUUAGGGCCCCAUCAGUCGAUGUUGUUAACUGAGGGGAAGCCUUUGAAAUGUGAUGUCAGUGACUCUAGUAUUUUAGUUUGUUGUGCUGUUUCUACUCCCUAUUAAUGUCAGUGUUGGCUGGUCCAUUAGGACAACCGGGUCUUAGCCUGACCACACAAAAUAUCAAGCAUUUUUCAGAAAAAUAUUUCACCCAAAUAUCAUCAUUUGUGCUCCGGCCAAACAGUUCUCUGCACCACUCAGACAAUCUCAGUCCAAAAGCAGCACUGUGGCAAAGAAGUCCUACCCAUCUGUCUCUAGGCAGAAAAACAAAUUGAUAUUAAAUGUGUGUCAGUGGCGCUACUGGCUCUGAGACCUGCUUGUGUAGUUCCCCCUUCAUCCCUCUUGUCCUGAUAGCAGUCCAGCCUGGUUGUCCCAGAGCUCAGAGCUCUUUCUGCUCAGAGCAUGCUCAGAACUGUUUCCUUAAAGGCUACACUACAGUAACAAAGCUCCACACUCAGCUUCCUGUGACCAGCCUUGUGGAUUCUUUAAUGUUUAUUUCAUUGUUUGCAAGCUCGUUCUUAUGCAUGUAGCUCUGUCAUAUUUUCAGGCACAGUCACAUUGAUUUAGGCAAAAUGUAGGGCCCUCCAAAAGGGUCCUGUGGACCAUAAAUCUGCCACUGCGUAUGGGUGCAUUGUAUGCAACACCUUGUCUUCAUUUGCGGAGUCGGUGAAGCUGCCGCCUGUAUGUCCAGAAUCUGAGGAAGAGUUCUGUGUAAUGGGGGGGGGGGAGCCUGCAUCCGGUCUUUUUAGUGGGUCCAGAUAAUAGGGCAACUUUUUAGUUGCUCUGUAGGGCCAGCAAAGCAAAGCAAAAUGGCCCCCUCCCCAGCUGCUCUUUCGGUUCAGCCCUUGCCUGCUCAGUCAGAAACUGGGGGCGCCCCAGCCACACACGGACAUGUGCCCACCCACAGUUCUUGAGCGGUGUUUGCCACUCCUUGAUCCUAAGACACCUUUGGGCUCCUGCAGGUUGUGGGGGAGACCCUGGCCUCCAUUUGUCCAUUUGAACUGCUUCCGACUGAUUGGGAGGGGAGUUGUGUUCCUUUUGUGGUUAUUCUAGGUGGCCAUCUCUGGACCCCACCCCCAAUCCAAAGCCAACUGAACCCAUCUGGGGAUUGGCGGGGGGGGGGUUCUGUGUGUCGGGGGGGGAGAAUCAGCCAUUUGUUUUUGUUUUAGUUUUAAUUUUUUCCCUCCCCACAAUCCUCAGCUGUUUCUCAGGCGGGGCCCACCUGCCCACUUCUACGAGAGUGUAAUGAGCAUUAUUACCAAAUGUAAAUUUAUUUGUACAUUAUUAAUAUUUUAUUUUUAUCUGGGGAGGGGAACAUGCAGAAGGUCAGAAACUCCAUAGGCAAAAACACCCUCAGAUCCAAAACCCUCUUUUUUAAAUAAAUAAAAAAUACUAAUAAUGGUGAUAAUAAAAAGAAUUUGGGGUGGGGUGGGGGAGAUCAGUUCCUUUUGACAAUGAAAUUCCUGACAUUUUUUUCCCAUUUUUUUAAUGGCAUUCCAUUUGGGGUGGAAAUCAGUUUUAAUUUGACUUGAUUUAUUUUGUAAUUGAUGACUUUUUUUAAACGACAAAGGGGAAAAAAUUACCUUUCCUGUUUGUUUGGUUUUUCUGGGGUGGGGUUGGGGGGGAUAAACUGUGAUUCUGCAUAUUUACCCUGUAAAAUUCCUGUAUUCUUCAAUGUUAUUGUAAAGUGUUACUGAUAAAAGAUGAUUAUGAACAAACAAACGAAAAAGUCCAACCCAUGUACAUUUAGCACAAAGGGGAAUACAGUUGAUUCUAUACUUCG